UUCAUUGUUUUGAGUCGGGUCUGCUCCAGCGCAGCACGUUUUAGAAUGUGCAGCGGGUGCGCAGACUCUGCGGGCAAGCAGUUUGCGUUGCUCGGACAGGGUAUGCGCGCAGACUCACGUCAUUUGAACGUGAACGCACCCUACAUUCUUAGUAUCUCUAGCUCUCUAACUUAAGUAUCUUAGAUUAUCAGCUACCGCUGCAGCUUCAGCUGCUCCAGCACACAUCCUCAUCAUGGCUGAGGAAUGUUACAAGCGUGGGAUCCGGUUAUUCGUGCUCUCAGCACUCACAGCACUGUGCAAAGCAGAUGAAUUUCUGGUGUAUGGAGAGAGGCAGUCUUCUGUAAUUGUUCCCGGAUUCAGUGAUUUGGAAACGAGUGGACGUUUAAACUGGCAAUUCUCCAGCCGUAAGACCAGCGCGGCUAUUCUGGAUUAUGUCAUUGGAAGUGCGGAAGCCAACAUCAGUCCCAUGUACAAGAACCGGGUUCAGUUUUUCCCCUCCAACGCAUCAGUGCUCAUUAAGGUCUUGCAGUACAGUGACGAAGGCAACUACACCUUGACAGUGCAGGGCGCUGUAACCAAGACAAGAACCAUCCUCCUGCAAGUCCUGGGACCACUGUCCGACCCACUGAUUUUCAGUUAUGAGCGCAACUCCUCCGUGGUGCUCAGGUGCUCUACGGUUUCGGGGUCACUGUUGACGUUCAGCUGGGAGAGAGGGGGCUCCACUCUACAUAACGACACCAAGUACAAUCUGAUGGAGGACUACAGCGCUCUCACUUUCACCCUCACAAUACGCAACCUACAGAAGUCCGACUGUGGGAGCUACAAGUGCAGAGUGUCAAACCCGGUAUCUGUGAAGGAAAGUUCUUAUGACUUGUCCAGUGGUGACGUGUGUAGGCAGGAAGUGUACCUGCAGUGGUUGGUGCCUGUCUGUGCCCUCGUGCCUUGCGGGCUGUUCCUCAUUGGCUCAGGGAUUUUUUAUUUCAUUAAGAAGAAUAUGAGAGAGAGGCAUGAAAUGAGCGAGGUAAACAGCGUUGUGUGAAAUGUGUUCCUGCGCAAAAAGGAAACAGACCACAUCAACCCCUGAAGCUGAUGAUACGAUAGCUUCCUGCAUUGCUUUCACUGAUUCAAAAGCCUGUGAAGGACUUCCCCUCCCAUUGGAUCACUCCAGCAAAAAACAGAGAUAAACGCGGAGUUGCCUUGUGCCACCCAGAAGGAAGAAUUGUUUUGUUUGUUUUUCUUCUUCAGUGUUUCCAGUUGAUUUACGCUUUAAAGUUGGCAUACCCAA